CAAUCGAAAUUCGAUUCUGAUUCCAGAUUGAACCACAGGCCAUAGGAAUAAGUGAUUUGUUGCUAUUCCGAGUCUGAUUCCACCCUUAUUGUUGAAUAAGACGGAAGCACUUAUUGUCAAAAUUGCCUGUCCAUAAUUAUCAAAAAAUCGAUACUACCCCUGUAUGAAUAAGAUCUUUUUUGUUCACUUGACACUUGACAGUUUAGUGUUUACACUCUCCUGUGACUGGAAGCAGCGGUGGUGAAAGGAGCAAAACGAACCCCAGCGGCGGUGAAAAUCUCAUCACAGACUUUCAUAGGUGGCAUAAUGAUAGUGGCUUUGUCCACAAAUCAGCACAGGUUGAUCCGACUACACUCAUAGAAAUUGGUGCAGUAGUUCAUCCAAAAUUUUACUUGGUCAGCAUGUCCAUAUUGGAUCAGGAGCUGUUAUAGGAGGUGCUGUUGUUUUUGGGGAUUCGACAAAAUAAGAUUCUUCUUGCAGCUAAUAGCUGUGUUACCAAAGACAUUACUGAACCAGGAGACUAUGGUGGUUUUUCUUCGGUGCUUAUCAAUGAAUGGCGGAGACAAGUUGCUACCCAUCGUUGGAUAUUGAAGAAGGGCAUUGUUGACCUGCUUCCAUGCAAUAUAUCAUAUAUCAAUGAGGUCAUGUUGGUCCUCUACGGAUGACAACGUGAGCAUAUGUGCUCAUGGCUAUUUACCAAAGAUUGAGAGAAAUUUUCAUCAUUUCAAGCAAUGUUGACGAAUCCAUAUCUAUUCUGCAGCACAACUUAUAAGGCAAAGUAGAAAGAUUGCUGUUUUGCUGGGUUUGAA